rnacentral:rRNA from 1 species
AUUGAACGCUGGCGGCAGGCUUAACACAUGCAAGUCGAGCGGAGAGAGGUAGCUUGCUACUGAUCUUAGCGGCGGACGGGUGCGUAAUGCUUAGGAAUCUGCCUAUUAGUGGGGGACAACAUUUCGAAAGGAAUGCUAAUACCGCAUACGUCCUACGGGAGAAAGCAGGGGAUCUUCGGACCUUGCGCUAAUAGAUGAGCCUAAGUCGGAUUAGCUAGUUGGUGGGGUAAAGGCCUACCAAGGCGACGAUCUGUAGCGGGUCGUAGAGGAUGAUCCGCCACACUGGGACUGAGACACGGCCCAGACUCCUACGGGAGGCAGCAGUGGGGAAUAUUGGACAAUGGGCGGAAGCCUGAUCCAGCCAUGCCGCGUGUGUGAAGAAGGCCUUAUGGUUGUAAAGCACUUUAAGCGAGGAGGAGGCUACUUUAGUUAAUACCUAGAGAUAGUGGACGUUACUCGCAGAAUAAGCACCGGCUAACUCUGUGCCAGCCGCCGCAGUAACAC